AUGUAGAUUUGAAUGAAUGUUUUUGAUUAAAAUGUAUUCAAUAUAAUUGUGUUUUUGAUUUUGAGGCAAAUAUUUAAUUAAAUUUCAAAUAAAAAUGGUUGGAAUAAAAUCUACCCAUUGUAGUUAAAUAAAAUUUAAGCAUUAUAUUUAUCUAAUCCCAAAUGGAGAGAAUAUUGAGUUAAUUCAAAUUAAUGUAAUCGGGCUAAUUUUAAUUGAAAAGCACUUCCUGUCGAAGUGAGCCUUUUUAUUUAAAAAAUGCAGCAGGCCUACAAGGCAUUUGAAGAGAGUAGGCUACAGACAGUGAAUGUUCGUUUUCUUCCACAUUGCUCAUCUUGCAAAAUUUGACUGGUUGACUUAGGUAAGAAAACUUAUUUUGUUAUCACUGGGCUACUAAGAAAAACGCAUGUAGUAGUAUAUUACAAUAUAAAAUGAGUUAUCACAGAAAAAGAGACUCAGCAGCAACACAAAGUUGGCUUCUGUUGGAAGGCUAUGUGAUGUUGUUGCGCUAUAAUAUUGACACAGCAUCAUACAUUUUGGAAGAAUUCUUAUGUAUCGAAGUCAAACGUUUAUUUUGAAGGAUGUGGGUUACCUUUUUCUCUAUCAUGGUUCCUAGGUCUUUUGUGUGUUAAUAUCAUAUCCUAAGUAUGUUUUGUAUGAAAUUGCGUAAAUAAGUACAUCGCGUUUAAUUUUAAGGUUCCAUAAAGCGCAAUAUUUGGGGUUUUCGCUGGAUGAGGAUCUUAUAUUUCAGACGGCACUUGACGCAGUUCCGUUGGCUUUACUUCUCGUGUGUGGAGCUCGUCUUCCAGAGGCAGAUCAAUGCAGAAUUUCAAAGAACAACUACUGUACUUCUGGUACCGAAAUUUAUGUCUGUGUUUGACUGUCACACUCCCAAGCUACUGACGCCAUUUUGUGCCAAAGAUGGAGCACUUGGAAGAAGACUGGAGAUCAUAAUGGAAAUGCUGCAGUGAUUGACUUCCUCCCCAGCACUCUUCGAUUGAGAGGACCAGAGAGAUUGUUCCUCGGUAUCUUACAAAAAAUACCUUGGAGAACAAGGGGGACAUCUUAUCAAAGAAUUCAACGACAGGAACUUGGAGGAACUUGAACAGCUCAUAAUGGCCAUUAAUGUGACCCCAAAGUGUGGAGCUUCUACAAGCAACUGCC